rnacentral:rRNA from 1 species
CAGCAGCCGCGGUAAUACAGAGGGUGCGAGCGUUAAUCGGAUUUACUGGGCGUAAAGCGUGCGUAGGCGGCUUUUUAAGUCGGAUGUGAAAUCCCUGAGCUUAACUUAGGAAUUGCAUUCGAUACUGGGAAGCUAGAGUAUGGGAGAGGAUGGUAGAAUUCCAGGUGUAGCGGUGAAAUGCGUAGAGAUCUGGAGGAAUACCGAUGGCGAAGGCAGCCAUCUGGCCUAAUACUGACGCUGAGGUACGAAAGCAUGGGGAGCAUACAGGAUUAGAUACCCCAGUAGUCCCUGUCUCUUAUAA